GCAAACGGGUGAGUAUAAUGUGGGGAUCUGCCUUUUGGUUUGGAAUAACACGGGGAAACUUGUGCUAAUACCGAAUAAGCCCUUACGGGGAAAGUUUUAAUGCCGAAAGAUGAGCCCGCACUUGAUUAGCUAGUUGGUAAGGUAAAAGCUUACCAAGGCAACGAUCAAUAGCUGUUCUUAGAGGAAGACCAGCCACAUUGGGACUGAGACACGGCCCAGACUCCUACGGGAGGCAGCAGUGGGGAAUCUUGCACAAUGGGGGAAACCCUGAUGCAGCGAUGCAGCGUGAGUGAAGAAGGCCCUUGGGUUGUAAAACUCUUUCGUCGGGGAAGAAAAUGACUGUACCCGAAUAAGAAGGUCCGGCUAACUUCGUGCCAGCAGCCGCGGUAAUACGAAGGGACCUAGCGUAGUUCGGAAUUACUGGGCUUAAAGAGCUCGUAGGUGGUUAAAAUAGUUGAUGGUGAAAUCCCAAGGCUUAACCUUGGAACUGCCAUCAAAACUUUUUAGCUAGAGUGUGAUAGAGGUAAGUGGAAUUUCUAGUGUAGAGGUGAAAUUCGUAGAUAUUAGAAAGAACACCAAAUGCGAAGGCAACUUACUGGGUCACUACUGACACUGAGGAGCGAAAGCAUGGGUAGCGAAG
rnacentral:rRNA from 1 species